GACGAACGCUGGCGGCAAGCUUAACACAUGCAAGUCGAACGCCGUAGCAAUACGGAGUGGCAGACGGGUGAGUAACACGUGGGAACGUGCCUUUCGGUUCGGAACAACUGAGGGAAACUUCAGCUAAAACCGGAUACGCCCUUCGGGGGAAAGUUUACGCCGAAAGAUCGGCCCGCGUCAGAUUAGGUAGUUGGCGGGGUAAUGGCCCACCAAGCCGAUGAUCUGUAGCUGUUCUGAGGGGAAGAUCAGCCACACUGGGACUGAGACACGGCCCAGACUCCUACGGGAGGCAGCAGUGGGGAAUAUUGGACAAUGGGCGCAAGCCUGAUCCAGCUAUGCCGCGUGGAUGAAGAAGGCCUUCGGGUUGUAAAGUCCUUUCGGCGGGGAAGAUAAUGGCGGUACCCGCAGAAGAAGCCCCGGCUAAUUUCGUGCCAGCCGCCGCCGUAAGAC
rnacentral:rRNA from 1 species